UUAGAUACCCUGGUAGUCCACGCCGUAAACGAUGAUCACCAGGUGUCGGNGGUUAACAGACCCCCGGUGCCGAAGCCAACGCAUUAAGUGAUCCACCUGGGGAGUACGUUUCGCAGAAUGAAACUCANAGGAAUUGACGGGGACCCGCACNNAGCGUGGAGCAUGUUGGUUAAUUCCNAAGNCACGCAAAGAACCUUAACCGGGCCUUUACAUCCCCUNCCCCGGAAAUUUCCCCGGAAUUGGCGAACAACCUUUGGGGCAAGGAAAAAAGGGGGGGCCAUGGGUUUCCCCCCCCCCGGUCCGAAAAUUUGGGGUUAAUCCCCCCAAAAACCCCCCCCUCUUUUCCCCUUUUCCCCCAGGAAAAAAUGGGCCCUCUUUUGGGAAAAACCCGGGGGAUUCCCCCCGAGGAGAGGGGGGGGAAAAAGCAAAAAAUUUUUUCUCCCCCUCUUUUUUGGGGGGGGGAACACCUUUUUUUUUUUUUUUUGUUAUAAAAAAAGAAAAAAAAACCCCCCCCCCGGGGGGGGGGGCGCCUCCCCACAAAAAUAAAAGCCCCGCC
rnacentral:rRNA from 1 species